UACGGAGGGUGCGAGCGUUGUCCGGAAUUAUUGGGCGUAAAGAGCUUGUAGGCGGUUUGUCGCGUCUGCUGUGAAAUUUCGGGGCUCAACCCCGAACUUGCAGUGGGUACGGGCAGACUAGAGUGUGGUAGGGGAGACUGGAAUUCCUGGUGUAGCGGUGAAAUGCGCAGAUAUCAGGAGGAACACCGAUGGCGAAGGCAGGUCUCUGGGCCAUAACUGACGCUGAGAAGCGAAAGCAUGGGGAGCGAACAGG
rnacentral:rRNA from 1 species